AAACGAGUAAACCAUAAACAACUGAUUCUUAGAACCAACAGGCAUUGAAUCGCCAAAUAUUGGCACAGCAUGUUUGUUUGCCAUUAAGACUUUUAACCAACAGUCUUGCAUGACUUUAAUUCAGUGCCCUAUGUCCCCAUUUAAAAGAUACUGGAAUCCUGUAAACCACUGAAGUUCUUGAAAAGGAAGGACCACAGCAACUUAAAAACUGUCAUUCCAACUCAGACAGAGCAACACAACUUAGGCCUCAA
rnacentral:misc_RNA from 1 species